rnacentral:misc_RNA from 1 species
UGGAAAGAAGGCAGUUGGUCCUUUGGAUGAAAAUUCAGGAAAGAAAUUGGUAGAGUGGAUUUGGGAUCUUUAUGGAAGCGGCAAACUGAGCAUAGCUGUUGAUGAAAGACUUCAUCAGGAUUUUGAUAAAAAAGAAGCAGAGUGUUUAAUGAUGGUUGGACUAUGGUGUGCCCAUCCUGAUUAUAAUCUGAGGCCCACAAUAAGGCAAGCAAUUCAUGUUCUUAAUUUCGAAGCUGAAUUGCCAAAUCUUCCUACAAAAAUGCCAGUUCCUUUGUAUCAUGUGCCCAUACCAUCAGUUAGCUCUAAUGAACCCUUAAUAUCAUAUUCAAGCAUCGAGGCAGGUCGUUAGUUCCUGCUGAACACACACAUACGCACACACCUGGAAAAAUCAAAGAAGCUGUGUGAGAAAUCACUUUCUUUGCAGGAAGGCCUGCAUUGAAAUCAAUGAACUUAAAUUGAAAUACUUUAUUGUAAUAA